ACAGUUUCCGCGUGACCAGCAUGCAGGCCGUGAUCAACGAGACCCCGCUGCCCAUCGAUCUCUACCGCUAUGAUGAUGUGUCAGGGAAGACAGAACAGUUUGGGAAGUUUGGUGUCAUCUACUAUGACAUCAACCAGAUCAUUACCACAGCCGUCAUGACGCACACCAAGCAUUUCGACGCUUACGGCAGGAUGAAGGAAGUGCAGUACGAGAUUUUCCGGUCACUCAUGUACUGGAUGACUGUUCAGUAUGAUAACAUGGGACGGGUGGUGAAGAAGGAGCUCAAGGUGGGACCCUACGCCAACACCACCCGCUACUCCUAUGAGUACGACGCCGAUGGCCAGCUGCAGACAGUCUCCAUCAAUGACAAGCCACUCUGGCGGUACAGCUAUGACCUCAACGGAAACCUCCACUUGCUGAGCCCUGGGAACA
rnacentral:lncRNA from 1 species